UUUUCAAUAGGUACAAUAAGACAGAUUUGACAGGGGUCAGUAGUUAGUAUAUGCCAACUAAGUAGAGCAUUGUGAUUGGCACACAGGUUUUUCAGAUCUGGGCAGUUGGAGUCAGUUGAUGACUUUAAAAUCAUCCAUUUCUGACUGGAUAAUUAAAGCUUACAGCAUCUACCUGUCUGUAGUUGAUUUUACCACAUUUUAACUAAUGUUUAACUAAUCUAAUCUCAUUUAAUGUCUCUGUUUAUAGUCUGUAUAGUUUAUCUCCCCACUAACAAACUUAAAGUAGUCUUAAAAUAAAACCCACAAAACAGUUCAAGAUGAAAUACUUUUUAUUUGCUUAUGUAAUGCCAGUUGCCAUAUUUUUCUGUAUGUCACUCAUUCGCUUAUACAAAAAGUACCAAUUUGUACACUAGUCUAGUGUAUUUUUUCCCUCUAUCUCUCUAUGUCUCACACACACAGACCAACACACAGACAUGUAUAUGCUCAUUAUUGCUGUUCAAACUGAUGGUCAAAUUUCCAAGCACCACCUGAACACCUCAUCAGUUUUUAACCCAUCACUGGACCAACUGUUGUCAUUCCGCUUUGCUCUCUGCUGUGGAACUUGACUGACCCCUGUGCUUUGCCUGUGUGCAGAAGAAGAACAAGGACCAGAUCUCCAGUCUUCUCUCUCACAUCCCAACCCCCCAACCCCUCUAUCCUCUGUACUACUCCACCUGUUGUCUCUGCCUUCUUUCCAUCUGUAUUUCACCCUGUGGUUUGUGAGAAAUUUUGCCAAACCAAGAAUCUUAUUGCGGUUUGAUUUCAAAGCCGCGUCUCUAAUUUUAGAGUUCGAAGGAACUCUAAUUCACGGUUUAAUUGGGAUUUCCCAGCCGUGUCUUUCCUGCUCUGUCUGUUCUCUCUGCUAAAUUUUCUCUCUACCUGUUUUUCACUCCUGGCUUGCUGCUGAAUAAUGGCAAGCCAAUAAAGCAAUAAAGAGUGCAUAUUUUGCCUCAACCUAUGAACAAACUGAACAAACAAAGAAAACUCGAAUUCACGGUUUAAUUGGGAUUUCCCAGCCGUGUCUUUCCUGCUCUGUCUGUUCUCUCUGCUAAAUUUUCUCUCUACCUGUUUUUCACUCCUGGCUUGCUGCUGAAAAAUGGCAAGCCAUUAAAACAAUAAAGAGUGCAUAUAUUGCCUCUACCUGAGAACAAACUGAACAAAUAAAGAAAACUCUAAUUCACGGUUUGAUUGUCAUUUCCCAGCCGUGUCUCUCCUGCUCUGUCUAUUCUCUCUUCUAAAUUUUCUCUCUAGCUGUUUUUCAUUCUGGGCUUGCUAAGUUGUGCCAAGCCAAUAAAGAGAGUGCAUAUUAUUCUCUCAACUGACUAACUGUCAAACAAAGAUCUGUUUCUGAGAAAUAAAAACUGAAAUAUAAAGACAGAAAACAUCUCCUG